GUGGGGGUGGUGUAGUGGAUAACACAUCAGUCCUGUCAACUUUGAAGCUUCUGGUUCGAUCCCAGACGCCUAAA